rnacentral:misc_RNA from 1 species
AAAUUAUUGAGAGAAAAAGCUAGAGAGGGAACCUGGAAAAAGCCACUUUGCAGCUACUCCAGCCAGUGUAUAUGCAGUUUCUUUUUUGUAUCGUAUCAUUCUAUCUUUCAUACCUGCUUCACAGAAUAGCUAUCUCUUAAGCUUUGGCUGGAGCUGUUUCUGGGCUCUCUGCUUUUGUUUCAAACCAUUUAUUGCCCUUUCCCUUCCUCUCUUCCCUAUCCUCCCUUUCCCACUUUUUUCAGUGAAACACUUUAAGCUGUGGGGUUAAUGGUGUAUUGACUUUAAAGCUUUUUUCCCACUUGAUUUUGCUUCUGAAAGGUUUGUUAAAAGGUUCUGGAAAUCUUUUGUUUCUGGGGCAGAGGAAAAGGGCUGUUUCAAGCAGAGAAAGCUGUGGAGUGAGUCAUGGCGGGAGGCGCAGCACCGAAAGUAGAGGAGCCUCAAGCUCAUCCACCGAAGGAUCAGCUACCCAACGUUUCUUACUGCAUUACUAGUCCACCUCCAUGGCCUGAAGCUAUACUUCUUGGUUUCCA